UGUGGGAGAUGCCAGGAGCCGUAC
rnacentral:miRNA from 1 species